UACGUAGGGUGCAAGCGUUAUCCGGAAUUAUUGGGCGUAAAGAGCUCGUAGGCGGCUUGUUACGUCGACUGUGAAAACCCGCGGCUCAACCGCGGGCCUGCAGUCGAUACGGGCAGGCUAGAGUUCGGUAGGGGGAGACUGGAAUUCCUGGUGUAGCGGUGAAAUGCGCAGAUAUCAGGAGGAACACCGGUGGCGAAGGCGGGUCUCUGGGCCGAUACUGACGCUGAGGAGCGAAAGCGUGGGGAGCGAACAGG
rnacentral:rRNA from 1 species